AGAGAGAGAGAGAGAGAGAAUAGAAUCAUUCUGACAUUCUUCUUAACAAUUCAGGCACUUUUUAAAUUAGAAGUUCAAUGUCAAUCUUUUCUCAUGCUAGGAAAUUUUAUACAAAAAGGAAAAGCAUUUUCUCAUACUAGGAAAUUUUAUACGAAAAGUAAAAGCAACGUUUGUAACUAACUUGGGUGUUAUAUAAACUUUCUGGCCAAAUAUAAAAAAGUUUGCAGUGUCUUAUGUGGCGACUCUUUCUAUUUUGUUGCCUUUACCAUUAAAUGAGCCAUUGGUAACAUUCA
rnacentral:misc_RNA from 1 species